UACGUAGGGUGUGAGCGUUAAUCGGAAUUACUGGGCGUAAAGUGUGCGCAGGCGGCCGAGCAAGUCGAGUGUGAAAGCCCCGGGCUUAACUUGGGAAUUGCGCUCGAAACUACUUGGCUGGAGUGUGGCAGAGGAAGGUGGAAUUCCAGGUGUAGCGGUGAAAUGCGUAGAGAUCUGGAGGAACACCGAUGGCGAAGGCAGCCUUCUGGGCCAACACUGACGCUCAUGCACGAAAGCGUGGGGAGCAAACAGG
rnacentral:rRNA from 1 species